rnacentral:rRNA from 1 species
GACGUAGGGCGCGAGCGUUGUCCGGAUUUAUUGGGCGUAAAGAGCUCGUAGGCGGCUUGUCGCGUCGACCGUGAAAACUUGGGGCUCAACCCCAAGCCUGCGGUCGAUACGGGCAGGCUCGAGUUCGGUAGGGGAGACUGGAAUUCUUGGUGUAGCGGUGAAAUGCGUAGAUAUCAAGAGGAACACCUGCGGCGAAGGCGGGUUGCUGGGCCGACACUGACGCUGAUGCGCGAAAGCUAGGGGAGCGAACGGG